rnacentral:rRNA from 1 species
CCUACGGGGGGCUGCAGUCGAGAAUCUUUGGCAAUGGACGAAAGUCUGACCAAGCGACGCCGCGUGCGGGAUGAAGGCCUUCGGGUUGUAAACCGCUGUCGUAGGGAAUCAAAUGUACGAGGGUUCUCCCUUGUAUUUGAGAGAUCCUAGGAGGAAGGAGAGGCUAAGCUCGUGCCAGCAGCCGCGGUAAGACGAGCUCUCCAAACGUUAUUCGGUAUCACUGGGCUUAAAGAGUUCGUAGGCGGCUCAUUAGGUGGGGUGUGAAAGCCCUCGGC